UGUAAAUUACACUUCACCAAUUAAGGGAACAAAAGUUCAAAGAAAAAUGGCAUCAGAGGCAGGGUCAAGGAGAUGAACUGGUUGUGACUUAAGGGCAGAAAGUCUAGAAUACUCACCGCAUCCGGGAACUGUUUCCACCUCAUCUGGGAGCUAUUUCUUUGUUCUGUUCCCAGGUGAUGAUAAGAUGAUGUGGUCAGCUAUAAAAACUCCGUACCCGGCUGUUCGCUGUUCGAGGCCUCACUCUGAGCCAAAGUGGUGGUCCCCUCUGUUGGCCUUGCCUCUCAUUGCAAUAAACUUUGCUGUGAUUGUCACUGGUGCCAUAGCAUUCUGUUUCAGGAGUCAUGUGGAUGCAACAAGUCAGUCUCCUGCUUUGCAAUUCUCCCCUCACUGCACCUUCAGAUCCUGUCUCUCUACAGCUGGCGCCAGAACAGGGACCUGAAGGUGGACGUUUGCCACAGGGCUGAAGAACUGCCACGGGAACCGAAGGGGACUUUGGAGCCAGGAAGCUCAGCCUUCGGGAUUUCUGCAGGUCUGGUGCCAGAGACGAUGAGCCUGUCAACAUAUCGACCGACAGUUCGGGUCAUGCAAUGUCCUCCUACAGUCCAUCAAAUACAAACAGAAAGGGGGAGAUGCUGGAGAACAACAGGCCGGAGGCACCUUAAGAAUGUCCUGAAGGAAAGGGACAGAGCAGCAAGAAACUGAAAGCAGUUUCAUUCCCAGGACAGAAAGCCGCUGGGACUUCUCCUCUCCAGAAGGACAUCAUCCGGAAGCCACCCUGGGGAUAAGAAUAUUUUGUCUGGUGCCAGAUGAACUCAUGACCCAGUAUGGAAUACGCUGCAGGUGCACAGCCUGUCAAGAGGCCAAAUACUGUGUUGUAUUUACUUGCUGUUGUCAACAAGUCGCAAAAAUCAAAGAGGCCUGAGCCAGGGGACCGAGGCUUUGGCUCCUGGAGAGUCUUAGCCCCCUGCUUUGCAAUCCUCUCAUCACCACACCUCUAGGACCUGUCUCUCUACAUAUUCCACACUCUCAUUUUCUUUGUGUUUAUUUAUUACCAAUAUAUGUGUGUGACAUUUCGUGUCUUCUUUUCCAAAGUGUUCUCUAAUAUUUCUGAUUAUCUUUUUUUUCUUAGUAUUUGAGUGCAGCUUACACACACUGUUCCAUUCCUGUCAGGUUUACAACAUAGUGACUCGUCAUAUAAUCCAAUAAUUGCACUCUUGGGUAUUUACCCCCCUAAAAGUGAAAACACCAAUUCCUUUAUUUUUUAAGGUUUAUUUAUUUUUAUUGAGAGAUGGAGAGAGAGUACACAAGCAGGGGAAGGGCAGAGAGAGAGGGAAAGGGAGGGAGAGAGAGAGAAUCUCUAGCGGACUCAGUGCUGUCAGCCCAACACCUGAUGUGGGGUCAACUCACAAACUGUGAGUGUACAUGUCCACACUAUGGAGCAUUGUAUAGACAUUGAGUUGCUAUUUCCACAUCAGAAAUGAUUUUCGUUUCACUGAGUUUUGAAACGUUUAGAAAUAGAAGUCCCAGGAAGUGUUUCUACUUUUCGGUUUUCCCUGUAUCACCAUCACGGGACUGGAGGACAAGGUGCAUAGGGACGCACACACCUCAGCAAUGGCACGGGUUCCUGAGCUCUCCUCUCCUGCAAUCCCGCCUCACCCCCGAGCCUGACCCCUGUGGAGUCCAGAGAUGCUCAGAUACUUUUUCCUCUCACCACUGACACCCAGGCUUCUGCUCAGACAUAUCUACCUGACUUACAGUCCAGACCCCACUCAGGCUUCUCAGUGAGAAUCCACCCAAGAGCAGAGCAGUGGGGGAUGUCCCCUUACCUUCCACCCCACGGGCGCCACAGGACUAAGGAGCGAAGACCCAGCUGCCUUUCUCCUCCUCAGCCAGGCCCUCCUUAGGGUCUCCUUCAGGUCCAGCAUCUGGACAGGGGCCCAGACACCAGGGGGCGCCCUCAUCCCAGAUGAUGUUCAGUGAGUUAGGUUGUUUCAAAAGCCACAGGGACACAACCUGUGUCCCUGCCAAUCCCCCCACCCCCCAGACAAAUGGGUAAGAAAGAUGUGUGGCAAAUACACACACACUAGAAUAUUAUGCAGCCACAAAAAGGAUGAGAUCUUGCCACUUGUGACAACAUGGAUGGACAAACAGGGCAGUGUGUCUGCUAAGUGAAUGAAAUCAGACUGACAAAGACAAGUACCACGUGAUCUCACUCAUAUAUGGAACUUACAAAACAAAGCAAAUGAAUAAAUAAACAAGCAAA